GAAAUGGGACAUUCUAAAAAGCAUUGUGUAUGGUGGUUUACUAGAAUCAAUUGCAAGCCUCAACAUUGUAACAUCUGCAGCCGGUGCUGAUGCUACCGCUUUGAAAAUUUUAGCUUUGGGAUUGGCGAAUCUGAUUGGUGGACUCUUUGUGAUUGGACAUAAUCUUAUGGAACUUAGAAAUGA